AACACAUUCAUGUGCCUCAGCAUGGGGGCAGCUGCACUGUUGCCUGCCAGCCUGUCCUCUUUGACUGCCGAAUGAACCAAAGGAUAACUCUCCAUUCGUGAGAGAGAGUGAGCUACAGAGGAAGAAAGACCACGCAAAAGGGAGGGGGAGAGAGGGGGGCGAAGAGGAUGUUCUCCGGCUCACUCCUACAUUAGGUCUCUGUGCAAAGGCAGAGGCUGUGGGAGCAGCAUCAAGCAAGACUUCGGGCAGUGAUUCUAACUAUUGCCUAUGAACACCGUGGCUGGGACGACUUUGACGAGGCAAUUUAUUACUUACGCAUAGAACACUGGCUGUGCUGAAACUGGGAGCGCAAACAGCCCCUUGUUUUCUAAUUUAGAGACUUGCAUCUUUUCGACACUCAACAGUAUCAAGACACUCUGCUACUACAGAAUCUUCUGGAGAGGAAAGAAGAAACCAUGUCUAGACAAGGUGCUGGAAAGACCCAGGGAAGACACAGGCUUUGGUAUCAGGAUGAUGCUGGCCUCACAAAAUGAGUUAGGGAGGAUUCCCUCUUUUUCUAUUGAUUGGAAUAGUUUCAGAAGGAAUGGUACCAGCUCCUCCUUGUACCUCUGGUAGAAUUCGGCUGUGAAUCCAUCUGGUCCUGGACUUUUUUUGGUUGGUAAGCUAUUAAUUAUUGCCUCAAUUUCGGAGCCUGUUAUUGGUCUAUUCAGAGAUUCAACUUCUUCCUGGUUUGGCCUUGGGAGGGUGUAUGUGUCGAGGAAUUUAUCCAUUUCUUCUAGAUUUUCUAGUUUAUUUGCGUAGAGGUGUUUAUAG
rnacentral:lncRNA from 1 species